UGAGGACAGAAGCUCCUAUGCUGGAGAUCCUUGCAGACCUUUUCCUGUACAGCUCUUCGUCUGGCUGUUCUUUCGUAUCUUCAGGAAACUGAUGGAUCAAGUGAAAGAAGCUGGACCAAAUGCAUUUUGUGAAGAGAAUUUGACCUUUCAAAUUGGUUGUGGGUUUUUCCAAGAAUAGCAUCCCUGGAAAAAAGAAAACAUCUUUCACAUCUUUUUAAAAAGACAUAUAAAUUAAAACUUUACAACAGAUGCUGUUGACUGCAAGUAACUGAAACAGUAGAUUGGGUGGGGCAGGGGACAACUAUUGCAGAACAUAUAUACAGAAAAGUAAAGAAAACAAAAAUACCAAUGGCUCAGAAUGGUGUCACAAGGCAUACAUUGCAACCAGAUCAAGAAAAACAAUAUUGACUCAAUCUAGAAUCCUCCUCAGACCCACUUGCCAUCGCUACCUCCGCCAUUCUUUCUUCAAAAAGAUACCUUAUUUUGACUUCCAAUGUUUUAGUCUAUUUAUGCCUAUUAAAUUUCAUUUAGUGGAAUCAUAAGGAAUAGAUUAUUCCAUGGCUUUUUUUUUACAUAUUGGGUUUGCAGAGUCUAUUCAUGUUUCUUGUUGUAACUCUAGUUUGCUGGUUUUCAUUGGUGCAGGAUAUUUAAAUGAAUAUGUCAUGGUUUAUUUGAUGACUCUGUAAGCAGUGGACAUUUAGGUUGUUUCCAGUCAGGGGAAUGGGAUCACAAAGAAUAUCUCUGAGAGCAUUCUGUACAUGCCUCUCCAUAUACAUGUUCAAGCACUUUUAAGUGGUAUAUGUCUAGGAGUGGAAUUGCUGGAUAUAAGCACAUGCUCUCUUUUACAUGAUACUGCCAAAUCAUUUUCCAAAGUAGUUGUUCCUUUUACACACCCACCCACAGGAUAUGAGAAUUCCAGUUGCUCCACAUCUUUGCCAAUAUUUGAAUUAUCUGUCUUAAAUUCUAGCUAUUCUGGUGGGUGUGUAGUGCUAUCUCAUUGUGGUUUUAAUUUGCAUUUCCCUGAUGACUAAUGCAGACCUUUUGGUGCUCUGCUGUUUUAAAGCAUCUUUGCAUGUCUAUUUCAUUGCAAAUCACUGCUCAGCCACAUUUAGAUUCAGAAUCAACAGUCAUUUAUUAAGUCUUCACUGUGAGUCAGAGUCUACAUGAGUUCAGUACCUCCAUGAGCUGAAUACCUCCAUGUUCUUGGCCUAAACAUGGAAGUAGGAGACUCUUUUCAGACUAAGUGGUCUAUGACAUAUCCUGCUAAUUUAACUUUAGGAUAUGUCAUCACUGACACUCAGAGAGCAUUUCUGAGUGAAGAAUGUCCCAGCAGGGUGGGGACAGAAGGCAGGUAUGGGAUUGAGUGCAAAGAAUAAAAACCAUCUGGAUUUUCAAACUUUACAGUGCGAAAAGAAUUGGUGAUGGUUUCUACAACUACAUAAACUAUCAGCCAUAAAAUAGGAUGAUGAUUAAUAUUGAUGCAGACAACUAGUCCUUAUAAGUAACAAAAAGGUCAACUGAUAUUGGAUGGCAAUGUGAAAUUAAAAUCUUCCUCUGAGUGACUCAUAGACAGAACAGGUUCUCUGAAAAUGUGGGUGAACCUCUGGUAACAUGAUAAACUUUGAGGGCAAAGGCAGAGUUUUGUCCAGAGGCAGCAAGAGAGGCCAACAAGAGGUUCGUUCUGUUUUAGAAAAAGAGAUUCUGAAUUACUUUCCUGUGCUUCUCUGCCGAGAGGUGGUGCCAGAUGGACCCUCCCUUGCUGCUUUGGUUACAGGUUGACUAGGGUAUGUGAAUAUUCUCUCUUAGGGCUGGGGAUUUAGCUCAGUUGCUCUGUGCCUGCCUCGAAAGUGCAAGGUCCUGAGUUCGAUCUCCAGUACAGAAGGAAAAAAAGAAUAUUCCCUCAUAGGGUCUGUUGGUCAUAUUGAGAUAUAUAUGUGAAGAGAGCAGCCAGGAUUGAGAAUAGGGGGAGAGAACUGGGAAGGGUAACAUAUUACAUGCUAAGUAGCAGCACCGAGCAUUCAGGCGCAUCCUCAUUUACCAGACUCCCUGCUGAAAUCUCACUGAAUGGGAACCUCUAAGGCAGAGGUGGCAAACCUAUGGCAUGUGUACCACAGUGGGCACACAGAGCCCUCUUGUUGGCAUGAGAGCCAGGUUGCCUGUGUAGCAAAGGACUGGCUAGCAGUUGUUUUUUCUAAACUAAACCCUCAGUAUUCAGGUUUAAUUGCAGUGUUGACACUUUACAAUAAAUAAGUGGGUUUUGGGUUGCAGUUUGGGCACUCGUCUCUAAAGGUUCCUCAUCACUGCUGUAAGGGAUAGACAGAGCACAAUCAAGGACACCCUUACAUAAGCAGGGAGGUCACAUUUAAGAAAGAAUAAGAGUUGCUCCAGGCUAAGCCAGGGAAGGGCAGUAAGGAAUCUUAACCAUUUCCCAAUUUUUCCUAAAGUCAGAUUGCAACCUAAAGACCCUAAAAUCCUUAAGCAGCCAAAGCCACCUCCUGGCCUAUAAGAAGCAGCAUGUUGACCUCCUUCAUCACCCACUCAGACUGCCAAAUAGCACACCUGGGGUGUACUUGGAUGGAUCAAGGUGACCUCUCAUGAUGAGCCAGUUCUUCAGAUCCAUCCAACUGGGUUUAAAUAUAGUCCCCAUAUUAAUCAACUUUGCAUCAAUAGAAUGAAAUAACUCAUGCAGGAUAGUUAAGAAGAAGUUUACAUAGCCCACAGUUUGGGAAGUUUGAAUUUAAAUGGUAAAGUGCAAUGAUAAGUUCUGCCCCUUGGCUGUGUCACCUCAUAGCACAAAUAACAAUGGUGGGAGCAAAUGCAGGAGUGAGCAAUAUUGUAUUUUAAACCAAGAGCAAAGAGAAUAGGAGGAUCUCUACCAACUCUCUCACAAGAACUGCCAAGGGUAAUAUGAGAACCAUCUUAAACCCCCAGUGACCCAAGGCCCCUCACUAGGCCCCACUUCUUAAAAAUCACAUCACUUCCCAAUAGUAUCACCCUGGGGAAGAAGCCUUUAACAUAUAACUUUUUGGGAGGGACAAUUAGACCAUACCCAAACCAUAGCAGGCACCCUGUCAUUUGUGUGCAGUUCACACCUUGUCAUGUUUGCUGGAACUGAGAAUGUCUUCCUUAUUCAGACAAAUGCAAUUAUCCAGUCUGCUUAGAGAGAAAAGCGUCAUCUCUCUUUUUCCUUCCCUAGUCAACACAGGAGAUCUGAGAAACUGAAUUCUGUGACAGAAGUAAGAUAAUGAGUAGACUCAGAGGAAAUAUAGAAGAUGCAAAAUGGGAGAGUGGAAUGAACUAAAAGUCAAGAUUGAGCUGAUAUCUUAAAAUUGCUCUUAUACAAAAGAUGAUCAGAAAUGUAGUAUGUGUUCAAAUUUUUAAAAAUAUAUUAUAGUAAAAGACACAUUGCCAUUAAUCCUCUCCAAAAUACUUCCCCUGGCUU